UACGUAGGGGGCUAGCGUUGUUCGGAUUCAUUGGGCGUAAAGGGUGUGUAGGCGGCGCCGUAAGUCGGGUGUGAAAUUUCGGAGCUUAACUCCGAAACUGCAUUCGAUACUGCGGUGCUUGAGGACUGGAGAGGAGACUGGAAUUCAUGGUGUAGCAGUGAAAUGCGUAGAGAUCAUGAGGAAGACCAGUGGCGAAGGCGGGUCUCUGGACAGUUCCUGACACUGAGACACGAAGGCCAGGGGAGCAAACGGG
rnacentral:rRNA from 1 species